CCUACGGGCGGCAGCAGUGAGGAAUAUUGGUCAAUGGGCGUAAGCCUGAACCAGCCAAGUCGCGUGAGGGAUGACUGCCCUAUGGAUUGUAAACCUCUUUUAUAUGGGAAUAAUGCGCGGUACGUGUCUAGUUUUGACUGUACCAUACGAAUAAGCAUCGGCUAACUCCGUGCCAGCAGCCGCGGUAAUACGGAGGAUGCGAGCGUUAUCCGGAUUUAUUGGGUUUAAAGGGUGCGUAGGCGGCUUUGUAAGUUAGGGGUAAAAUAUUGGGGCUUAACCUAAAUAUGCCCUUAAGACUGUGGGGCUAGAGAAUAGACGAGGCAGGCGGAAUAAG
rnacentral:rRNA from 1 species